GCCAAGGUGGCAGAACCAGGUAAUGCACCGGACUUGAGAUCCGGCGGGCUUUGCCCUUCAGGGUUCAAAUCCCUGCCUUGGCG
rnacentral:tRNA from 1 species